UACGGAGGGUGCAAGCGUUAAUCGGAAUUACUGGGCGUAAAGCGCACGCAGGCGGUCUUUUAAGUGAGAUGUGAAAGCCCCGGGCUUAACCUGGGAAUUGCAUUUGAGACUGGGAGUCUAGAGUCCUGUAGAGGGGGGUAGAAUUCCACGUGUAGCGGUGAAAUGCGUAGAGAUGUGGAGGAAUACCGGUGGCGAAGGCAGCCCCCUGGACAAGGACUGACGCUCAGGUGCGAAAGCGUGGGGAGCAAACAGG
rnacentral:rRNA from 1 species